GAAGGAACCAGGUUCUCCACUUAGGAGGGAGUCAUUCAGGGACUUAGGAAACCACAGGCCUGAGAAAUGGUGCUCAGUCUUAAGUUUCUGACCAAAAUAAGACAAAAGUUCUGCUGGGAUCUCACAAACAGCCCAACCUGAGUCAAAGGCACUCAGGCCUGCUUUUAACGUAGUAAAAUUCCUCAGGUGCCACAGAAAUAAGACGUGCAACUCUCUCUUUGCUGGCCCUUGACAGCGAGGGGAGUGGGUGGAUUCCCUGGCUCUCUUCACCUCCUAUGGGACAGGGACAAGUUCCUUUCCUCUCACCUGUGCUCCUUCUCUCGGGGAUUUAUGCUCACUCGCUUUGGAAGCAGACCCAGGCCGACUCAUGGCUCAGCCACUCAGCUGUCUGACCUCGUUGGGGCUGCCAUGUGGAAAAACAGAAC
rnacentral:lncRNA from 1 species